UGAGGAAUAUUGGUCAAUGGGCGGGAGCCUGAACCAGCCAAGUCGCGUGAGGGACGACGGCCCUGCGGGUUGUAAACCUCUUUUGCCGGGGAGCAGGGAGCGCCACGCGUGGUGCUUUUGAGAGUACCCGGAGAAAAAGCAUCGGCUAACUCCGUGCCAGCAGCCGCGGUAAUACGGAGGAUGCGAGCGUUAUCCGGAUUUAUUGGGUUUAAAGGGUGCGUAGGCGGGAUGUCAAGUCGGCGGUAAAAAUUUCGGGGCCCAACCCCGUCGUGCCGUCGAAACUGGCGUCCUAGAGUGGGCGAGAAGUACGCGGAAUGCGUGGUGUAGCGGUGAAAUGCAUAGAUAUCACGAAGAACUCCGAUUGCGAAGGCAGCUUGCUGGACCGUAACUGACGCUGAUGCUCGAAAGUGCGGGUAUCAAACAGGAUUAGAUACC
rnacentral:rRNA from 1 species